AUUGAACGCUGGCGGCAUGCUUUACACAUGCAAGUCGAACGGUAACAGGGUGCUUGCACCGCCGACGAGUGGCGAACGGGUGAGUAAUGCGUCGGAACGUGCCGAGUAGUGGGGGAUAACGCAGCGAAAGUUGUGCUAAUACCGCAUACGUACUGAGGUAGAAAGUGGGGGACCUUCGGGCCUCACGCUAUUCGAGCGGCCGACGUCUGAUCAGCUAGUAGGUGAGGUAAAGGCUCACCUAGGCGACGAUCAGUAGCGGGUCUGAGGGGAUGAUCCGCCACACUGGGACUGAGACACGGCCCAGACUCCUACGGGAGGCAGCAGUGGGGAAUUUUGGACAAUGGGCGAAAGCCUGAUCCAGCCAUGCCGCGUGUCUGAAGAAGGCCUUCGGGUUGUAAAGGACUUUUGUCGGGGAGGAAAUCCCCAGCGUUAAUACCGCUGGGGGAUGACAGUACCUGAAGAAUAAGCACCGGCUAACUACGUGCCAGCAGCCGCAGUAACAC
rnacentral:rRNA from 1 species